UACGGGGGGGGUAAGCGUUGUUCGGAAUUACUGGGCGUAAAGGGCUCGUAGGCGGCCAACUAAGUCGAACGUGAAAUCCCCGAGCUCAACUCGGGAACUGCGUCCGAUACUGGCGGGCUUGAAUCCGGGAGAGGGAUGCGGAAUUCCAGGUGUAGCGGUGAAAUGCGUAGAUAUCUGGAGGAACACCGGUGGCGAAGGCGGCAUCCUGGACCGGCAUUGACGCUGAGGCGCGAAAGCUAGGGGAGCAAACGGG
rnacentral:rRNA from 1 species